rnacentral:rRNA from 1 species
CCUCUUUGUUGAGGUGUGUCUUUUUAAUUACCAUACCCUAUAAACACAAGUUAUUGAAUGUAAAAUCGUUAUAAACUAAUAUAACUUUCAACAACGGAUCUCUUGGUUCUCGCAUCGAUGAAGAACGCAGCGAAUUGCGAUAAGUAAUGUGAAUUGCAGAAUUCAGUGAAUCAUCGAAUCUUUGAACGCAUCUUGCGCUCUUUGGUAUUCCGAAGAGCAUGCCUGUUUGAGUGUCAUGAAACUCUCACCUCCAAUCUUUUUUAACUAGAAGGUUGGGGCGUGGACGUGAGUGCUGCUGGUGCCCUGGUUGCAUCGGCUCACUUGAAAUUCAUUAGCUGAAUCCUUUAAAGUAGGUUCUACUCGACGUGAUAAGAUCUCCGUCGAGGACAGUGCUUCGGCAUUGGCCAACGAUAAAGUUGAUACGCUUCUAAUUAGCGCAGACUUCGAGUGCUGGCAAUUUUGACAACUUGGCCUCAAAUCAGGUAGGACUACCCACUGAACUUAAGCAUAUCAAUAAGUGGAGG